rnacentral:rRNA from 1 species
GACGAACCGAGCGAACGUUGUUCGGAAUCACUGGGCUUAAAGGGCGCGUAGGCGGGUGCUCAAGUCCGGGGUGAAAUCCUCCAGCUCAACUGGAGAACUGCCUCGGAUACUGGGUGUCUCGAGUGUGGUAGGGGUAUGCGGAACUAUCGGUGGAGCGGUGAAAUGCGUUGAUAUCGAUAGGAACUCCGGUGGCGAAGGCGGCAUACUGGACCACUACUGACGCUGAUGCGUGAAAGCCAGGGGAGCAAACGGG